AUAUACAGAUAAAGCUAAACACCAGUUCUUGUUCAAUCACCGAAGUUAAACGUCAUGCCUGGUUAGUGCUUCGAUGGGUGACCGCUUGGGAUACCUAGGUGUUGUAAGCA
rnacentral:rRNA from 1 species